UGUUGGGUUAAAUCCCCGAAACGAGCGCAACCCCUUAUUUUCAGUUGCCAACAGGUAAUGGCUGGGACUUCUGAAGAAACUGCCGUCGUAAGACGCGAGGAAGGAGGGGAUGAUGUCAGGUCAUCAUGGCCUUUAUGCCCAGGGCUACACACGUGCUACAAUGGGGAGGACAAAGGGGUGUUACCUGGUGACAGGAUGCAAAUCUCAAAAACCUUUUCUCAGUUCAGAUUGUAGUCUGCAACUCGACUACAUGAAGCUGGAAUCGCUAGUAAUCGCGCAUCAGCAAUGGCGCGGUGAAUACGUUCCCGGACCUUGUACACACCGCCCGUCAAGCCAUGGAAGCUGGGUGUACCUAAAGUCGGUAACCGCAAGGAGCCGCCUAGGGUAAAACUAGUAACUGGGGCUAAGUCGUAACACGGUAACCAAGGG
rnacentral:rRNA from 1 species